AAAGCAGCAAGGCCAUGACUGUCAAGAGGGAACUAUGUCUACUUGGCCUAAGACCUGAAGAGAUCUCAGGGCAGAAGCCAUUUCCUGCCACCCCAAAUGAUGGUGACUCCAGCUUCCCAUCAGAUCUGCUGCUGAUCUGCCUCUGUUUCAAAAGCAAGCCAAAGGGGUCCCUGAAAGAUAAAGGGUAAAGAGAAACAGACAGGCUGGCCAGGAAGCAACACAGUGCCUUCAGUGGUCACCAGGCUCCAAGCCCGUGAAAUGCUGCAGAGCAAGGGAGAUCCUGCAGAGGCUGCCAACUGUGAAACCAGAGGACAGACGGCUCUUGCAAAGUGGACACGUAGAUUCUAGGACAUCACAGACACAGAUCUCUGCAGAAUCACUGUAGCCAUGAAGGGACAGCUGCAAAUAAAAGUAUGCAGUUGCAAAAACCA
rnacentral:lncRNA from 1 species